rnacentral:rRNA from 1 species
AGAGUUUGAUCCUGGCUCAGAACGAACGCUGGCGGCGUGCUUAACACAUGCAAGUCGAGUGCGCGGUUGUAGCAAUACAACUGGCGCACGGCGCACGGGUGCGUAACACGUGGGUAACCUGCCCUUUGGUGGGGAAUAACUCCGCGAAAGCGGAGCUAAUUCCGCAUAAGAUCCGCAAGGAUGAAAGCCGCAAGGCGCCGAAGGAGGGGCCCGCGCCCGAUUAGCUAGUUGGUGAGGUAAUGGCUCACCAAGGCUUUGAUCGGUAGCUGGUCUGAGAGGAUGAUCAGCCACACUGGAACUGAGACACGGUCCAGACUCCUACGGGAGGCAGCAGUGGGGAAUCUUGCACAAUGGGCGAAAGCCUGAUGCAGCGACGCCGCGUGGGGGAUGAAGCAUUUCAAGUGUGUAAACCCCUUUCGAUCCGGACGAAACCCCGCAAGGGAUGACGGUACGGAAAUAAGAAGCCCCCGAC